rnacentral:rRNA from 1 species
GACGAACGCUGGCGGCGUGCUUAACACAUGCAAGUCGAACGGAAAGGCCCUGCUUUUGUGGGGUGCUCGAGUGGCGAACGGGUGAGUAACACGUGAGUAACCUGCCCUUGACUUUGGGAUAACUUCAGGAAACUGGGGCUAAUACCGGAUAGGAGCUCCUGCUGCAUGGUGGGGGUUGGAAAGUUUCGGCGGUUGGGGAUGGACUCGCGGCUUAUCAGCUUGUUGGUGGGGUAGUGGCUUACCAAGGCUUUGACGGGUAGCCGGCCUGAGAGGGUGACCGGCGACAUUGGUACUGCGAUACGGCCCAGACGCCUACGGUAGGCAGCAGUGGGGAAUAUUGCACAAUGGGCGGAAGCCUGAUGCAGCAACGCCGCGUUCGGGAUGACGGCCUUCGGGUUGUAAACCGCUUUCGCCUGUGACGAAGCGUGAGUGACGGUAAUGGGUAAAGAAGCACCGGCUAACUACGUG